rnacentral:lncRNA from 1 species
UAAGUCCGCGGGUCCCUGCGGAAGAAAAUGAGCUCAGCCGGAGACAGGAGCAAACUGCAGAAGAUCCAAGUUUAUUGCGCAACAGGUUCAAGGCGAGAUUGAACAGCGAGAAAGGGGUGACAUGAACUUUUGAAAUUUCCCUCCAUGUCCCAGAAUACAGUGCAAAAUACAUCCCAGUUACAUCAUGAAUACAUUAAGAAGAGGUUGGGUCACACAGGAUUAACAUAUGGAGGAGGGAGGGGGGAAUAUGCAGAGCUGGAGAUAUGCGCAGAUAAGCACAUCCUGAGUACCUGAUGAGAAGACAAUGGUCCAUGUAUGCAUGGUCUGCCACCUGGCAUUGCCCGGAGGAAAGGCUUGGCAGAGUGAUUUGACAGGAUUAGGGUCUUGACACCUUGCUUGAGGGAUUAUGGAGGACAGGGGAGGUGUCAUGGAGUCCUAGAGAAAUUGAGCAAAUUGGCACGUUGGUUUUCUAUGAAUUUUAUAGAUUUUAGUCCCUUUUGACAUUGACAAUUGGAAAUAAAUGGAUAUAUUGUAGCGAAGAAGAAGGUGAAGAAGACAUGCCCCCCCCCUUCCGUAUCAGUCCCCCAUUCGGAGAUAGAUUUGCAUUAAAGUUCUGUAAGAACUUGCAAAUCUUUUCUCCGCACCCUAAAUCUCGGUGAAUGUAGGGGUGCCCUGUGAGUGGGAAUAGGCUCUAAUGGAAAAGGAGGUGGGUUGAGCAGGGCAGCAAAAGAGGGAGCAACACGGACAAAUACAAUGUACGCGUGUGUUAUAUAGAUAUGCGCUAAAUAAUAACUUGGUAUCUACCGUACCAGAUGUGUGGGUUUAUGCAAACCUGAAAGGGACUUGCAAGCCAUGCCUCUUACGGUCAUUUGCAAGUAUAGCAGUGCAGAUAGCUGGAUAUAGGAUAUUACAUAAAAGAACACCUGUUGUAUUUUGUUACUAAAUUACUUGUGGCAUUCUAGCUCUUGGGAGAAACAUUUUCAAUAGUGGUGUAUGCUUUACAUUUAACAGGAAGGUCCACUACUGACUGAAAAAAAAUGCAGUUUGCUUUUUAGCCCCACCGUUUUGUGUUCUCAGGUGCCAAGCUAGCUUUUCUGUGGUCUCACACCAGCAUAGUGGUACAGUAACACAUCCUGUUGAAUCCCCUCAGGGCUUUCAUUUAACCAUGUCGCCUGGCACUCACCAUAGCUGGCACAGGUUUGGACAUAUCAUGAGAGAUAUGCCUUUGCCUUGGCCUUUCUAUGGGGUUUUAUUAUUGCAGGCUCUGGUCUUGCACUCAUGGAAAGUUGCUCACUUGCUCUUAAAGGACCAAAAGCUAGUUGCAGCCUGGAUACACGUGCCCAAUUCCAGCAGAGUCCAAUUUGAAUUUAUCUUGCCCCAUGGUUCUCAACUUUUCAAAACCAAUAUGUUAAAACAAAACCAUUCUUAAAAGGGGCACUUGUCCAAAGGAGUCAAUUUAACUGUAUAAGGGACCAUUCCUGCUACAUCAAGGCAUAUACACGUUUCUUGUUAUCAAUAAUAAUAAUAAUAUGUUGGAGAUGUAAGGAAAGUGAAGGAACCUUAUUCUACAUAUGGUAGUCGUGUCCUCAAAUAAAUAAAUAAAAUUU